rnacentral:rRNA from 1 species
AGCGUAGGCGGCCGGUCAAGUCCAGUGUGAAAGCCUUACCGCUCAACGGAAGGAUGUCACUGGAAACUGAUCGACUAGAGCCGGGUAGAGGCAAGCGGAAUUCCUGGUGUAGCGGUGGAAUGUGUAGAGAUCAGGAAGAACAUCGGUGGCGAAGGCGGCUUGCUGGGCCCGUGCUGACGCUGAGGCUCGAAAGCGUGGGGAGCAAACA